rnacentral:rRNA from 1 species
GAGUUUGAUCCUGGCUCAGGACGAACGCUGGCGGCGCGCCUAACACAUGCAAGUCGAACGAGAGAGAGGGAGUUUGCUUCCUCAAUCGAGUGGCGAACGGGUGAGUAACGCGUGAGGAACCUGCCUCAAAGAGGGGGACAACAGUUGGAAACGACUGCUAAUACCGCAUAAGCCCACAGGUCGGCAUCGACCAGGGGGAAAAGGAGCAAUCCGCUUUGAGAUGGCCUCGCGUCCGAUUAGCUAGUUGGUGAGGUAACGGCCCACCAAGGCGACGAUUGGUAGCCGGACUGAGAGGUUGAACGGCCACAUUGGGACUGAGACACGGCCCAGACUCCUACGGGAGGCAGCAGUGGGGGAUAUUGCACAAUGGGGGAAACCCUGAUGCAGCGACGCCGCGUGGAGGAAGAAGGUUUUCGGAUUGUAAACUCCUGUCGUUAGGGACGAUAAUGACGGUACCUAACAAGAAAGCACCGGCUAACUACGUGCCAGCCGCCGCGGUAAUUC